rnacentral:rRNA from 1 species
UACAGAGGGUGCAAGCGUUAAUCGGAAUUACUGGCGUAAGCGCGCGUAGGUGGUUUGUUAAGUUGAAUGUGAAAUCCCCGGGCUCAACCUGGGAACUGCAUCCAAAACUGGCAAGCUAGAGUAUGGUAGAGGGUGGUGGAAUUCCUGUGUAGCGGUGAAAUGCGUAGAUAUAGGAAGGAACACCAGUGGCGAAGGCGACCACCUGGACUGAUACUGACACUGAGGUGCGAAAGCGUGGGGAGCAAACAGG